rnacentral:rRNA from 1 species
CAUUGGGACUGAGACACGGCCCAAACUCCUACGGGAGGCAGCAGUAGGGAAUCUUCGGCAAUGGACGAAAGUCUCACGGAGCACCGCCGCGUGAGUGAAGAAGGUUUUCGGAUGGUUAAACUCUGUGUCAGAGUAAGAUCAAGUUGGAGAGUACUGCUCCAGCCUGACGGUAUCUGACCAGAAAGCCACGGCUAACUACGUGCCAGCCGCCGC